AGUCAAGAUAAUGUAUACACACUUAAUAUUCCCUUUUCUCCUUAAUAAAGUACUCCCUAAAUAUUAACAUUUUUAGUAUUUGAUAAUUCCAUGUUUUAUCAUUAUUCGUACAUUUUGUUGCGUUACACACAAUGCAGAGACUACGGUGGCACAGAGGUGACAUCCGCAACACUUUAUUUAUAUUGUGGCCACAACUUAGUAAAUUGCAAUCGUGAUAAGUCCUCACACAUUGAUUUAUUUUAUGACCAUUUAUUGUAAACAAUGUGUUUCAAAAAAGUGUAAAAUAAUAACAUGAUCCGUUUUUUUUCAAGUCCUCGGCUGUUACCAAUCCGAAGAUACGCAGAUGAUAUUUUGAAAGAAAAGAAAACCCCAGCUUAUUCCUCUCCUUAAGGGCGAACUUCAACAAUCACAUGGAUUCUGCACCAAAGACCGACUGAAGAAAAAAUAAUAACGAUCCAAACAUCGUAAGUAAUUUACAAACAAAAGACAGGCAUGGAAGGAGCAGGUUAUUGUUGUUGUUUCCUACUGCGCAAUUUGGAAGUGAAUGCUGGCACUUAGAUUGUGUAAUUAUGAAAGUAAAGUCAGUUACAGUACAAAUCGCAAGGGUGCUCACAAUUUCACAUAGUUCAGGGAUGAUAAACAACAAUCAAUACUCAUCAGAAGUGAUAGUUUCUCGAAAAGUGGUUUGCUUUUGGAAGAAAGUGUUAUAUGUGUUACAGUAUAUAUCAAAAUAUUCAGAGUGGAUUUAACUUUCAACAUCGUUUGGAAAAUACGUAGAUAUAGUGAAGGAGAAUAAUUAAAUGUGAUAUUAAAUCUGGCAUGCACAUAGAUAUGAUAAGGAAAUAUAGUUAUUGUUGAUGUUCCGAUUGGAUGUAAUUUUCAAGACAAUUUGAAAUAUACAUAUAACGAAGAAAUGAUAUUAUUUGUGUGUUCGUUUCAUUCUAAUUAUUAUUGACUCAAACAGGACUGUCUGGAAUAUGAUUGUAUAAUGGGAAGAAAUAUAAUUAGUGGUCAGUAUGCUUUGCAACUGGAUUUAAUUUUUAAAAAUUUGGAAGGAACAAAGAUAUGGUGAAGGAAUUAAUUAAUUUGUGAGAUUCAAAUCGGAUUUAAUUUGCACUUCUAAAUAUUUGUAUAUAUAGAAUGGUAUAUAAUAUGUGAAGAGCACGUUGCAUUCUAAUUAUCAAAUAUUCAAAUCGGAUUAAGUGUUCAAGACAUUUGGAAUAUACAUAGAUGUAGGGAAGAGGCAACGAGUAAUUUUGUUAAAAUGGAGUCCCCCGUGGAAGGAUAUUACUUUGUGAACGCCUUAUUAGUCAGCAAAGCAUAUGUAAUGUGAACUUGGCCCCUGGUGGCAAUAAGCUCAUAACCUUGAUUUAAGAUUGUGUCACAAUGGAAGUACAGCCAAUAGCAACAUAAGUCGUUUCAAACAUUGUGGAAGAAAGAUGCAAAUAGUUUAAAUAGUAGGUUCAGGUUGAAUAUUGUUUUCACGUUUUCACGUUUUGAUAGUUUAUAUUAUAUCAAGGAGAUGUGUUAAGACUUGUUAUAGUUGAACGGGGCGGGGAUGGAGGAGAAGAUGGUGUUUCAACAUUAAGUUAAUCAUAACAAUUUUUUCUUCAUAUUACUGCAUGACAUACCAAACCAAAUGUUUUGAAAACAGUUGUCCGUACUCGUACUACAUGACUGUUUUAAAUACUUGAUACUUUUCUGAUAAUAAAAAUAUGCCGCCAGACAAAAUUAUUGACGAACAUAUAUACAAUGAACAAGAAUAUCAUAUAAUAAUAGUCGCACGUGUUCAGCUUAAAUGGAAGUUACAUAUAUUUAAACUAUUACUGACAAUUUGAUAAAAAACUCUUUGUCAAUACGUUACGGAACUUAAACAAAUCAGGUACGUCAAGAAAACAAUUGUUCUCCCAUUCCGUUAUGAUGUUCAAAUUAAAAGAAAACGCCCGUUUUUGUUUCAAAUUGCAUCAGAACAGUGUGCUUAAAUUACUCAUUUAAAACAUUUACGAAUAUUUAGUGUAAAAUGAUUGUUACAUUUAUGUAUGAAUAAUUUCCAUAAGCUUUAGGUAGUUUUG
rnacentral:lncRNA from 1 species